rnacentral:rRNA from 1 species
UACGUAGGUGGCAAGCGUUGUCCGGAAUUAUUGGGCGUAAAGCGCGCGCAGGCGGUCCUUUUAAGUCUGAUGUGAAAGCCCACGGCUCAACCGUGGAGGGUCAUUGGAAACUGGGGGGACUUGAGUGCAGAAGAGGAGAGUGGAAUUCCACGUGUAGCGGUGAAAUCGUAGAGAUGUGGAGGAACACCAGUGGCGAAGGCGCUCUCUGGUCUGUAAACUGACGCUGAGGCGCGAAAGCGUGGGGAGCAAACAGG